rnacentral:rRNA from 1 species
GACGAACCGAGCGAACGUUGUUCGGAAUCACUGGGCUUAAAGGGCGCGUAGCGGGCUGCCAAGUUUGGGGUGAAAUCCUCCGGCUCAACCGGAGCAGUGCCUCGAAUACUGGCGGUCUCGAGGGAGGUAGGGGCGUGCGGAACUGUGGGUGGAGCGGUGAAAUGCGUUGAUAUCCACAGGAACUCCGGUGGCGAAGGCGGCACGCUGGACCUUUUCUGACGCUGAGGCGCGAAAGCCAGGGGAGCGAACGGG